GUUUUUAUAGUUUAAAAAAAACAUUAAUUUUGUAAAUUAAAAUUAGAUAAUCUUAAAAACA
rnacentral:tRNA from 1 species